rnacentral:rRNA from 1 species
GCGGCAGGCCUAACACAUGCAAGUCGAGCGGCAGCGGGAAAGUAGCUUGCUACUUUUGCCGGCGAGCGGCGGACGGGUGAGUAAUGCCUGGGGAUCUGCCCAGUCGAGGGGGAUAACAGUUGGAAACGACUGCUAAUACCGCAUACGCCCUACGGGGGAAAGGAGGGGACCUUCGGGCCUUUCGCGAUUGGAUGAACCCAGGUGGGAUUAGCUAGUUGGUGGGGUAAUGGCUCACCAAGGCGACGAUCCCUAGCUGGUUUGAGAGGAUGAUCAGCCACACUGGAACUGAGACACGGUCCAGACUCCUACGGGAGGCAGCAGUGGGGAAUAUUGCACAAUGGGGGAAACCCUGAUGCAGCCAUGCCGCGUGUGUGAAGAAGGCCUUCGGGUUGUAAAGCUACUUUUAGCGAGGAGGUAUAUAGGUUGGCGCCUAUAUACGUGUCUAUACUGUGACGUACUCGCAGAAGA